rnacentral:rRNA from 1 species
GACGUAGGGUGCGAGCGUUGUCCGGAAUUAUUGGGCGUAAAGAGCUCGUGAGGCGGUCUGUUGCGUCCGCUGUGAAAACCCGGGGCUUAACCCUGGGCUGGCAGUGGAUACGGACAGACUAGAGGUAGGUAGGGGAGAAUGGAAUUCCCGGUGUAGCGGUGAAAUGCGCAGAUAUCGGGAGGAACACCGGUGGCGAAGGCGGGCUACUGGCCGAUACUGACGCUGAUGCGCGAAAGCCAGGGAGCAAACGGG